rnacentral:rRNA from 1 species
GGAACUGAGACACGGUCCAGACUCCUACGGGAGGCAGCAGUGGGGAAUUUUGGACAAUGGGGGCAACCCUGAUCCAGCAAUGCCGCGUGAGUGAAGAAGGCCUUCGGGUUGUAAAGCUCUUUUGUCAGGGAAGAAACGGUGGUCUCUAAUAUAGACUGCUAAUGACGGUACCUGAAGAAUAAGCACCGGCUAACUACGUGCCAGCAGCCGCGGUAAUACGUAGGGUGCAAGCGUUAAUCGGAAUUACUGGGCGUAAAGCGUGCGCAGGCGGUUAUAUAAGUCAGAUGUGAAAUCCCCGGGCUCAACCUGGGAACUGCAUUUGAGACUGUAUGGCUAGAGUGUGUCAGAGGGGGGUAGAAUUCCACGUGUAGCAGUGAAAUGCGUAGAUAUGUGGAGGAAUACCGAUGGCGAAGGCAGCCCCCUGGGAUAACACUGACGCUCAUGCACGAAAGCGUGGGGAGCAAACAGGAUUAGAUACCCUGGUAGUCCACGCCCUAAACGAUGUCUACUAGUUGUCGGGUCUUAAUUGACUUGGUAACGCAGCUAACGCGUGAAGUAGA